UUAUAUAUUAUAUUAUUUUUAUUAUUGGUUUUAUCUUUAUUUAAUAAAAAUAAUUUUAUAGUUUUGUGUGUCUUAGUAUAUUUUCUAGAAUGGAUUAUAAUUAUUAUAGUUUAUUAGUAAUGUAAUUGGUUUAUGAAAUUAUUUAUUUAAAUAGUUAAAAGUAGAUUUAGUUUGUUGUACCUUUUGUAUCAGGGUUUAUCAAAAUUAUGGUUUUUAUUAUUACUAUUCUCAAUUUGGGUUGAUUUAUAAAUAAAUUAAAUUUAAUGUAUCAUAAUUAUUAUUAAUUUAUUUAUAGAAAUGAAAUGUUAAUCGUUUCCUAAUAUAUUUAGUUUUCUGAUAAAAAAUUCAAUUUUUUAUAGUUUAUGUUUUGUUUAAUUUUUAAAUUAACAAUAUUUACUUAUUAAUUCUUUAGGGGAUAAGCUCUGAAGAUAUUUAUCCUAUAAUUUAUUAGAUUUUAAUAAAAUAAUAAGCUUUAAACCAGCUAUUUUUUGAUUACGUUUUAGUUCAUUAUUUAUUAUUUUGAUUUUAUAAUGAUUUUAGGUUUUUUAUUAGAAUGAUAAAUUAAAUUUUAUAAUUUUUGUAAUAAUGAUGGAAUUAGUAUAUUAUUAUUGUUUGAAGUAUUUAAUUUUACCAAUUUAUUAUAAGGAAUUUGGCAAAAUUAAUUUCCGCCUGUUUAUCAAAAACAUGUCCUUUUGAUUAUAUUUUUAGGUCUGGCCUGCUCACUGAUGAAUUUAAAGAGCCGCGGUAUUUUGACCGUGCAAAGGUAGCAUAAUCAUUAGUCUCUUAAUUAGAGGCUGGAAUGAAUGGCUUGACGAGAAAUUGACUGUCUCUUAAUAAUUUUUAUAAUUUAACUUUUGAGUCAAAAGGCUUAAAUUUUUCUUUAGGACGAGAAGACCCUAUAGAGCUUGACAUUGUAUUUAUAUAUAGUUUUUGGUAGGUCUUUCUAUAUUUAGUGGUAAUGUUUUGUUGGGGUGACAUGAAGAAUAAAUAAACUCUUCAUUAUUAAUUCAUUGAUUUAUGUUUAUUUUGAUCCAUAAUUUAUGAUCAUAAGAUUAAGUUACCUUAGGGAUAACAGCGUAAUUGUUUUUGAGAGCUCGUAUCGACAAAGCAGAUUGCGACCUCGAUGUUGGAUUAAGAAAAGUUUUAGGUGCAGUAGUCUAUUAACUAGGUCUGUUCGACCUUUAAAUUCUUACAUGAUCUGAGUUCAGACCGGCGUGAGCCAGGUCGGUUUCUAUCCUAAGUUAAAUUAUAUUCAUAUUAGUACGAAAGGACCAUAUGGUUGAAAAAUUUUUUAUUAAAUUGAUUAAAAUUAAUUU
rnacentral:rRNA from 1 species